rnacentral:rRNA from 1 species
UACGUAGGGGGCUAGCGUUGUCAGGAAUCAUUGGGCGUAAAGAGCGUGUAGGCGGCCCGGUAAGUCCGCUGUGAAAGUCGGGGGCUCAACCCUCGAAUGCCGGUGGAUACUGUCGGGCUAGAGUGCGGAAGAGGCGAGUGGAAUUCCUGGUGUAGCGGUGAAAUGCGCAGAUAUCAGGAAGAACACCUAUGGCGAAGGCAGCUCUCUGGGACGGUACUGACGCUGAGACGCGAAAGCGUGGGGAGCGAACAGG